CUCUCGCCUCUGACACGACACGGUCGUUAUGCGACUUGCUUCCCUCCGAACGCUUUUACAUCAGAAUUUGGACGGGGAGGUAUACGACGAGACGAGGAGAUAGUUGCUGUGCUUUGAAUUCGGUUAUUGUCUGUUUGCAAGUGAUUAGCAUAAUCAUAGGUGAAAUCCAUGAUACUGUUGCAGUCGCAGUCCAGGUUUCUCCUUCAGACCUUGUUGAAUCGGCUUCACGACCUUGAUAAAGGAGUUGAGCUUGAUUACCACUGGGUUGAAUUUGAUGAUGUACGUUACCACAUUCAGGUGUCUAUGAAGAAUCCACACCUCCUGUUGCUAUCAGUAUCAUUACCCGCCCCACCUCCAGAAACUAUCUUGUUUGGUGGACUCCCCUUUGGUGCCAUCGAAGCUAUAAAAUCUGCAUAUGGCACAGCUGUACAAAUUCUUGACCCUCCAAGGGAUGGCUAUAAUCUCACCUUGAAACUAAAUUUCUCAAAACUUCCUCCAGAUGAAGAGUACAAGAAUGCCUCCUGGCGAAGAUUGCAUCUGUUAGAGAAGUGGUGCUAGGUGCCCUUCUAAGAGUCAUCUGAAAUAUCUUGCUUCAAGAACCCGUUGCUCUGAUAUAGAUCGGCUUGUUGCACUCGUGCAUCGACCAAAUGAGUCUUUCUUUCUCGUCCCACAGGCAGAUAAGGUCACCGUGGUCUUUCCUAUGAGAUUUAAGGAUUUCAUAGAUACCGUUCUUGCAACUUCCUUCUUGCAGUGCUCUGAGGGAUUUAUGCACACCCGAAUGCGGCGUCGCGUUGAGUCUCUGAUCCAGGCAUUGGACCGAGCAAGACCAGAUUCAGAGAGGUCAAAGAAAACAGUGAAUAGCAGAUCCUUCAAACGGCUGAGCCUCAAGGAUUCCCGUAUGAAUUCAAAUUCUUAAGGGCAUAGCCUGGCGUGUGAACUUCCAGGGUUGUUUAUUUGAUAGAUCUGUAGCCUAUCUUGAACCAAAGAGUGAAUUUGUUUUGUAUGGGCAAAACAGUCAUUUUAAUUCUUGAGAUUGAGAUAGGUCAUUAGGUUUAUUGUUAUUUAUAUUGUUUUUCAAAAGUAUGUAUACCAAUAUUAUUACUAAAAUAAUAUCUAAGAAUUUAAUUAGUAUA